rnacentral:rRNA from 1 species
UCGAGGAUCUUCGGCAAUGAGCGCAAGCUUGACCGAGCGACGCCGCGUGCGGGAUGAAGGCCUUCGGGUUGUAAACCGCUGUCAGUGGGGAGGAAGGCUCCGUGAAGAGCGGGGUUUGACCUAUCCGCAGAGGAAGUGUGGGCUAAGCUCGUGCCAGCAGCCGCGGUAAGACGAGCCACACAAACGUUAUUCGGAAUCACUGGGCUUAAAGGGUGCGUAGGCUGCGCGGAAAGUGGGGUGUGAAAGCCCUCGGCUUAACCGAGGAAUUGCGCUCCAAACUACCGUGCUCGAGGGAGACAGAGGUAAGCGGAACUUCGGGUGGAGCGGUGAAAUGCGUUGAUAUCCGAAGGAACACCGGUGGCGAAAGCGGCUUACUGGGUCUUCUCUGACGCUGAUGCACGAAAGCCAGGGUAGCAAACGG